GGACUGGCACUGUCUUUUCAUGGGAGCUCAGUUUGUCAGGCAUCAGCUGCUCUAGGAAGGAAAGACAUGCUGCCCUUCUACAAUCUUCUGGAAGGAGGAAGAGAUGGACAGCUCUUCAAGAAUCAGGACCUUGACACCAGGGAAACACCGGCUUGUGUCCACACGCAUAAGACCCCCUAGCUG